rnacentral:lncRNA from 1 species
UUUUCAUUAGUUACUAGUAUGUUCAAUUGAAGGGUAAGCAAUGUCAAAAUCAUCAGUUAAGAAAGUGACCGAUUUAAGGUAUCGUACAAUUUUACUAUGUAUAUAGAAAAGAUGAUUUAUUUACGGUUAAAUAUAAUGAAAUUAUAGGUAAAAGUGUUAAAAUUGAGGGUCAACAUUAUAUAAUUUAUCAGUCAAGAUGGUAUCGUUAGAAGGGUUAAAAAAGUAAAUUAUCAAUCAAACUGAGAACAAAUAGUAUA